rnacentral:lncRNA from 1 species
CUCGAUUAACGGUUACCCCGACGCUACCUCUCCGCUCUCGGACCCUCAUAACGGACACGGUCAUGCCUUCACACCGGAGAAACCCCCCCCCCGGGUUUCAGGAGUUUGUGCGGAGCACCUUCCGGAAGCACUAUGUUUUGUGCCUGAGUGAAGUGAAGAGGCUGUUUAACCUGCAUCUGGCCAGUUUACCCACAGGUCACUCUGUGUACGGUCACGUGAUGGACCGCAUGCUCCAGGACACCAUCCUCCAGAGCCAAUGCAAACAGAUCCUGGUGCCUGUAAGUACUGUGACGGACCAUGUGGAUGCUCGGCGUGCCCGAGGGUGGUUGCUAGGGUGUCAUGUAGUUGCGUAGGGUACUUCAGGUCACUCUGUGUACGGUCACGUGAUGGACCGCAUGCUCCAGGACACCAUCCUCCAGAGCCAGUGCAAACAGAUCCUGGUGCCUUUUCCUCCUCAGAGCAACGCUACGGCAGACGAGCAGAAGGUCUUCGGCCUCUGGGAGAGCGGAGAAACCUUCGACAAGCACCGGCAGGUUCUGUUCGAGAUCUUCAUGAAGAACUAUCGCUCCUCACGCAGGAGCUCAGUGACGCCGUCACCAAAACCGAUAUGGAUCGACUGCUCAAGGUCCCAUUACGAUGUUACAUUUCUAGAGUUAUGCUACAAAAAUGAGUAACUUAAUAGAUUAUUUUAAGUUUUGUUGUAUUUUCUUGUUUUAAAAUGUAACCAUCAAAUUUUUCUCAAAUAAGUAAACAUUGCUUUGUUUUUCCAAAUAGUUUUUCCAAGUGUUAGGCAAUUGAUUAAAAAGUAAAAAAAAAAAUAAUAAAAAAAAAAAAAAAGUUAGGUAAAUAACCAAUUACAAUAAAUAAAUCAUCUAAUAGAUACUGUUAAUAGUCAAAAUUAAUUACAUGUAUUCUUAUUUUUACAUAGAUUUUAAAGUAAAGGAAACCCCUACAUAUUAAUACAUAAUUCUAGGCUACAAUUAAGAGUCUGCAAAAAAUAAUAAAAAUAUCUCUUAAAAAAACAUCAGUGUAAUUAGUCUUGGACUGUCUGCUAGUAUUGUAUGAUGUGUGUCAAGUGCAGAAAGUAACAGGAGAAAAGCCUAAAAGCCUCUCCAGUCAUCUGAAUAAAGGUUAAUAAUAUUGUGCAUCCCUGAUUUUGAGUUCUGGGACUGUUAGUAGUUAGUCCAGAAUGCUUUUGUCUUCAUCCGCAGCACCGGCAGGUUCUGUUCGAGAUCUUCAUGAAGAACUAUCGCUCCUCACGCAGGAGCUCAGUGACGCCGUCACCAAAAACCGAUAUGGAUCGACUGCUCAAGGUCCCAUUACGAUGUUACAUUUUCUAGAGUUAUGCUACAAAAAUGAGUAACUUAAUAGAUUUAUUUUUAAGUUUUUGUUUGUUCUUGUUUCUAAUUAGUAAAUUAAAAAAGUAAAAAAAAAAAAAAAAAAAAGUUAGGGUAAAAUAACCCAAAUUACAAGCAAUAAAUCAUCUAAUAGAUACUGUUAAUAGUCAAAAUUAAUUACAUGUAUUCUAUUUUUACAUAGAUUUUAAAGUAAAGGAAACCCCUACAUAUUAAUACAUAAUUCUAGGCUACAAUUAAGAGUCUGCAAAAAAUAAUAAAAAUAUCUCUUUCAAAUCUAACUACGACUCAUAGUUUGCCACAGAUGUCUGAAUAUGUUGGCUAACAUGCUUGCUUUAUUAAUAUGAAGAACAACUAUUGUGAACAGCAAGAUGACUGAACUGAUAUGUCUGAAUAUGUUGGCUAACAUGCUUGCUUUAUUAAUAUGAAGAACAACUAUUAGUGAACAGCAAGAUGACUGAACUGAUCUUUUAACCCAGUGAGUGAAAACAAGCUCAGAUUUUAAAAUUCAUUGUUUGCCAUUUGUGUAAAUAAGCAGCUUAUAAGUACAGCAGACCUUUACAAUAAAAGCUGUAUCAAAACCUAAACCUCGAUACAUUUUAGUGUUGACCAGAUUAAAUCUAUCAGUUUUUAGGAUAUAAAUGUGCAUAGGAAAACUAGAAGUAUAUCACAUGCAUUAAUGUGUCCUUUACACUGUUGCUGAUUUGAAUAUGGGACCGAAAUCUAAUAAAAUAAAGCUGCCAAAAUGAAAACUAACUGUUUGCACGUUUGUGCUUUUGGAUGAUGUGCUGAAAAUAUAGAAAUGGAACAUUUAAACACAAGAUUCACACAAGUUAUCUGAAUUAUUUAUAAUAAAGAGACCAUCAGUUGAAGUGAGACUAUAGUAAACAGGUAAAACCAUGUCUUCUGAGUUAUGCUGCUUAGUUAGGAUCUCUGUAAAACACUUUUGCUGUGAAAUUACUUCUUUUCACAAGAGCAACUAGAUGGAUGAAUUCCCAUGACUGCAUACAUAACAUAUGUACUUAUGCACUAUGCCUUUAUGCACUACAGAUUUGUACACUACAUACUUACACAGUGCACAUAUGCACUUGUACACUGUGCACUUACACACUGUCACUUAUACAUAUGCACUUACUGUGCACUUAUACACUAUGCACUUAUGCACUUAUACAUAUGCACUUAUACACUAUGUACUCAACCAUCUAGUGUAUGAAUUAUAUAAAGUUAUUUUGUCAUUCAUAACCUCCCCUUCGCUAUGUAAUUAAAGCUGCGACAGUUGUAUGCAAACAUCAAUGCCUUGAAUUUUAUGCGAGCAGCUAUUGGUAGCCAGUGCAAAUUGAUAAACAGAGGUGUGACAUGCAUUCUUUCGGCUCAUUAAAAAUUAAUCUUGCUGCCGCGUUCUGGAUUAAUUGUAAAGGCUUGAUAGAACUGGCUGGAAGACCUGCCAAGAAAGUGUUGCAAUAGUCCAGCCUUGACAGAACAAGAGCUUGAACAAGGAGUUGUGCAGCAUGUUCUGAAAGAAAGGGCCUGAUCUUCUUUAUGUUGAAUAAAUCAAAUCUGCAGGACCGGACAGUUUUAGCAAUGUGGUCUGAGAAAGUCAGCUGAUCAUCAGUCAUAACUCCAAGGUUAAUGCUGAAUUGACAGUUGUCCAAAAGACGACCAUUGACACCUUGCACAAGGAGGGCAAGACACAAAAGGUCAUUGCAAAAGAGGCUGGCUGUUCACAGAGCUCUGUGUCCAAGCACAUUAAUAGAGAGGCGAAGGGAAGGAAAAGAUGUGGUAGAAAAAAGUGUACAAGCAAUAGGUAUAACCGCACCCUGGAGAGGAUUGUGAAACAAAACCCAUUCAAAAAUGUGGGGGAGAUUCACAAAGAGUGGACUGCAGCUGGAGUCAGUGCUUCAAGAACCACUACGCACAGACGUAUGCAAGACAUGGGUUUCAGCUGUCGCAUUCCUUGUGUCAAGCCACUCUUGAACAACAGACAGCAUCAGAAGCGUCUCGCUUCAAAAAGGACUGGACUGCUGCUGAGUAGUCCAAAGUUAUGUUCUCUGAUGAAAGUUACUUUUGCUUUUCCUUUGGAAAUCAGGGUCCCAGAGUCUGGAGGAAGAAAGAAGAGGCACACAAUCCACGUUGCUUGAGGUCCAGUGUAAAGUUUCCACAGUCAGUGAUGGUUUGCGGUGCCAUGUCAUCUGCUGGUGUUGGUCCACUGUGUUUUCUGAGGUCCAAGGUCAACGCAGCCGUAUACCAGGAAGUUUUAGAGCACUUCAUGCUUCCUGCUGCUGACCAACUUUAUGGAGAUGCAGAUUUCAUUUUCCAACAGGACUUGGCACCUGCACACGCCUGACCUUAACCCAAUUGAAAAGCUAUGGGGUAUUGGGAAGAGGAAGAUGCAAUAUGCCAGACCCAACAAUGCAGAAGAGCUGAAGGCCACUAUCAGAGCAACCUGCACUCUCAUAACACUUGAGCAGUGCCACAGACUGAUCGACUCCAUGCCACGCCGCAUUGCUGCAGGUAUUCA